rnacentral:rRNA from 1 species
UACAGAGGGGGCAAGCGUUGUUCGGAAUUACUGGGCGUAAAGGGCGCGUAGGCGGCCUGCUAAGUCGAACGUGAAAUCCCCGAGCUCAACUCGGGAACUGCGUCCGAUACUGGCAGGCUUGAAUCCGGGAGAGGGAUGCGGAAUUCCAGGUGUAGCGGUGAAAUGCGUAGAUAUCUGGAGGAACACCGGUGGCGAAGGCGGCAUCCUGGACCGGCAUUGACGCUGAGGCGCGAAAGCCAGGGGAGCAAACAGG